GCUCUGCUAGCUUAAACACCACAAAGCACUAGUUUUGUAAACUAAAGAUGGGAACACCCGCAGGUCA
rnacentral:tRNA from 1 species